rnacentral:rRNA from 1 species
AUUGAACGCUGGCGGCAUGCUUUACACAUGCAAGUCGAACGGUAACAGGCCUUCGGGUGCUGACGAGUGGCGAACGGGUGAGUAGUGCAUCGGAACGUACCCAGAGGUGGGGGAUAACGCAGCGAAAGCUGUGCUAAUACCGCAUGUGAUCUGAGGAUGAAAGCGGGGGACCGCGCAGCAAUGUUUGGCCUCGCGCCUUUGGAGCGGCCGAUGUCGGAUUAGCUAGUUGGUGGGGUAAAGGCCUACCAAGGCGACGAUCCGUAGCUGGUCUGAGAGGACGACCAGCCACACUGGGACUGAGACACGGCCCAGACUCCUACGGGAGGCAGCAGUGGGGAAUUUUGGACAAUGGGCGCAAGCCUGAUCCAGCAAUGCCGCGUGCGGGAAGAAGGCCUUCGGGUUGUAAACCGCUUUUGGCAGGAACGAAACGGUGUCCGCUAAUACCGGGCGCUAAUGACGGUACCUGCAGAAUAAGCACCGGCUAACUACGU